CUAACACAUGCAAGUCGAGCGGAAACGAGAAGUGCUUGCACUUCGGCGUCGAGCGGCGGACGGGUGAGUAAUGCUUGGGAAUAUGCCUUGAGGUGGGGGACAACAGUUGGAAACGACUGCUAAUACCGCAUAAUGUCUACGGACCAAAGGAGGGGAUCUUCGGACCUUUCGCCUUUAGAUUAGCCCAAGUGAGAUUAGCUAGUUGGUGGGGUAAUGGCCUACCAAGGCGACGAUCUCUAGCUGGUUUGAGAGGAUGAUCAGCCACACUGGGACUGAGACACGGCCCAGACUCCUACGGGAGGCAGCAGUGGGGAAUAUUGCACAAUGGGGGAAACCCUGAUGCAGCCAUGCCGCGUGUGUGAAGAAGGCCUUCGGGUUGUAAAGCACUUUCAGUCGUGAGGAAAGGUUAGUAGCUAAUAUCUGCUAACUGUGACGUUAGCGACAGAAGAAGCACCGGCUAACUCCGUGCCAGCAGCCGCGGUAAUACGGAGGGUGCGAACGUUAAUCGGAAUUACUGGGCGUAAAGCGUGCGUAGGCGGAUUGUUAAGCGAGAUGUGAAAGCCCAGGGCUCAACCUUGGAACUGCAUUUCGAACUGGCUGUCUAGAGUAUUGUAGAGGGUGGUGAAUUUCCAGUGUAGCGGUGAAAUGCGUAGAGAUUGCAAGGACAUCAGUGGCGAAGGCGGCCACCUGUACAAAUACUGA
rnacentral:rRNA from 1 species